rnacentral:rRNA from 1 species
GGGUUGUGAGGUUAAGCGACCAAGCGUACACGGUGGAUGCCCUGGCAGUCAGAGGCGAUGAAGGACGUGCUAAUCUGCGAUAAGCGCCGGUAAGGUGAUAUGAACCGUUAUAACCGGCGAUUUCCGAAUGGGGAAACCCAGUGUGAUUCGUCACACUAUCAUUACGUGAAUACAUAGCGUAAUGAAGCGAACCGGGGGAACUGAAACAUCUAAGUACCCCGAGGAAAAGAAAUCAACCGAGAUUCCCCC